CUGAGGACAGAGAAGAAAGGGGUCAGGGGAUACCCGAGAGGCUGCGCUCCAGACCUAAGGCUCCUGACCCCGCCCAUCUCUGGCCCCGCCUAUUUGGGCCACGCCCACUUCUCCCGCGGUCACUGCCCACACCUCGGUUCUUAGCUACUGAGUGUGCGCUGUAACUUUCCUCUUCCGGUCGAUGAUGCAGGAGGACCUGGGUAGGACCGUUCAGUGCUCUGCAGCUGGGACCGGGGAUGCGGAUGCGGGCGCGGCUGCGGAGCGGGCAGUGUCACGGGAGCUGGCUGUGGAGUGUCGGGUUCCAGGCGACUCCGGCUCCCUCCGGCCCAUCCCUUGUGCUCCUCUGAGCUGGUGCUGGGGCCUUAGGGAGGGGCCGUAGGGUCUCAGCUUCCUGGGCUGAGCUGGGCAUCUCCCAGACUGAUGGGUAUUUAUGGGCCAGGAGAUCCCAGGGCAGGAAGUGUUUGUGCUGAGUUGGUGGAGAGGAGGGGACGGGCGGGAUAGGGGUGGGGGGGACUGAAAUCCACCCAGAGGAGCUGCUGGGGUCCCUGCUGGUUCUACCUCACACAGCUGUCAUAGGCCAGCGAGUCCAGGUCUUGCAGCCAGGCUCCCGCCCUUGCCCUUGGCCCCUCCUCUGGGAAUCAGAACAUCCGCACCUCUGGGGGGGGGGGGCGCUUCCCUGGGGAGAUGCGCAUGGCCUUGGGAAAUUACUUGCAGUGACUCUUUAAAGCUUCAGAUGGGAGUUCCCACUGUGGCUCAACGGGAUCCGUGGCAUCUCUGCAGCACCAAGAUGUAGGUUCGAUCCCCAGCCCAGCACAGCGGGUUGCAUGAUCUGAUGAGGGCGGCAACUGCAGCUCAGAUCUGAUCCUUGGCCUGGAAACUCCAUACGCCAAGGAGCAGCCAAAAAAGGAUCCCUGGCCUGAGAAUGCCAUACGCCUGGGGGCAGCCAAAAAUGGAAAAAAGGGGGGGCUCCUAACCCCCACUGGCUCUGACAGCCCUCCCUGACAGGCUGUGUGACUUGGGGAGAGUCAGUGGCCCUCUCUGGGCCUUGACUCCUGCCUGUGAAAUGGGGGCGAGGCUCCCUCCUGGGCCCAGGGAGCCGUGAGAAGCGAGGGGCAAAGGGUGGGGCAAGCUUGGAGAACAGGCAUGCGCAGAGCAGACCCUGGUGUGACCGAGGGUGGCGGCGUCCUGAGUACCACGGGGUCCAACUUCUUCACUGCAGGUGGGGAAACCGAGGCCCGGGAGGGCCAGGACCUGGACCAACCCAUCUAAUUGGAAGGCUUGUCUCGGGAGAGCCGCGUGAGCUGGGAGCCAGACCCAGGGUCUCUGGAGUGGCUUUGGGACCCUCUGUCCGGUGGUCCACCGUCCUGACCAAUUGACUC
rnacentral:lncRNA from 1 species